rnacentral:piRNA from 1 species
GAAGAAAGUGAACGCUGGCCC